rnacentral:rRNA from 1 species
AUGGUGCUGGUGAAGAUGUUGAUGGAGAUUGACCCCCUCUCGAUGAGAGGAUCAAUGAUGAUGACGAUGGCGAUGAUUUCUCCCUCUCGGAGGGAAGUUUUCCCUGUAGAACAGCUCCGACGAAGCCCUAGAUUGGUUCUGCCUAGGUUCCGCCUCGAGACGGCGGCGCUUCGUCCGGAAAGUUUCUUUCUUAUUCUUUUCAGGUCAAAACACAUCAUACAGCAGAAGAUGGGCGUCGGAGGCCUGCCAGGUGGCCCACAAGGACGGGGGGCGCGCCCUCCAUCCUUGUGGCUGGUAGGUGGCCCCCUCUGGUGCUUUCUUCGCCAAUAUUUUUUAUAUAUUCCAAGAAUAUUCUCCGUGAAGUUUCAGAACUUUUGGAGUUGUGCAGAAUAG